AGUUGUUUCAACCGGUCUUCAGCGACUAUAAAACAAUGUUUGUAGGCCGGCGGAAACUACUAG
rnacentral:pre_miRNA from 1 species